AGGGCCAGGAUGCGCGAGUGCGCGUGCGCAGAGCUGCAGCCGACCAGACCGAGAAGGGGGAAAAACCCGCCCAAACCAAACCGUGAAUGAGGUUAACAACGGGGCGUGGGGGGCGCUCCCCGCCCCCCGCUCGUGUGCGUCUGCGUGACGUCACCGCGCGCAGGGAUUAACAUAAAACCCGUAAGAAGACUGUCCACACAUCUGCAACUUCUCCCCAUCUUUUUAGCACUAUGCAUGCGUUAUACUGUUCAGAUGAUAAAACACUCAGACUUAAGUUGGUUGGAAGGGACCUCUGGAGGUCCUCUAGUCCAGCCUGCUGCUCGAAGCAGGGUCAGCUGUGCCAUGUACAUGUUUUUCUAUCUGCUCCUGUUUUGCUUUGUUUUGUUUUGUUUUCUGGUAACUUUUGAGCACAGCCAGUUUGAAAGAAAAUAAAUUCCAGAGAAUUUCUUAGAUAUCAUCAGAGAGUCCACCUGAGAGGCAAGCUUUGUGGAUGUCUGAACCUCCAGAAAAGCUUCAGUCAAAACUUUUAUCUUGUAAGAUACAAGAGUCUAACUACAAGACAAGUCUGUUAAGGUUCAUCUACUCCAGUGAGUCUUAGGAUUUUUUGCUUCUAUAGGAUGUCAAGGCUUUUUCUGCAGAGUGGCUCAAAAAUGGACAGAAUUUGAUAGUACAGCCAACUUUUUAGCAGUAGAGUCCAAAGACAGAGUCAGAUUCAGGUCAUCAUUACUUUACUGGCUAAAUUAAGAUUUUUUUUUCUAUACUAUUCAACCUUGAUGAAAAGAUAUGUCAAGUGCUGGAUUUUUGUUGGAUGUGGUGGAUUUUCUUUAUAAGGGGUCCUUGAAUGCUGACACUAAACGAACUGUCAGUAAUGACGUAAAGUGAAGUAGGUAAAGCUCCUUAGUUAAACUCUACCAUAAUAAUUUUAGCACUUCCUGGUUGGUAGGUAUGCCAUCCUAGCAGACUUUGGUAUAAAAUCCUCUUUUAAAGGAAGCCUGCACAACAUAAACUCUGAGUUUCUAUAAGGCCCAUGAAACAAUUUACUGGCCAUCUUCUCUGUGCUACCACUAUGAAGAAUGAGUAGGCAGCUGAGUGAUGCUGUGAGUUGCUUCUCAGCCACCCAGUCACUUACCAUCCUGGGUGGUUCAUGCACGCUACUGAACAGCCAGGCAACACAUACCGUGCCUGAGUAGCUGAGAGGCAACUGCCCUUCCCUAUCGCGAAUGUGACGGUAGUUAGUUUUCACCUGGGAAGACACAAAGUGAAGUAGUAAAAGGGAAAGGGAAUUGAGUGACAUUAAUAGUGGGGGAAAAAUUAAUAUGAUGGAAGGACAUUUAUUAUGGGAAAAAGGGGGAAAAGGUAUGAUGUAUAGGGCUACCAGUAGCAAAAGCAGUCCAUAAGGCUGCAUUUCUCAGGGUCUUACAGCCUUGGUCAUAGGAAAACUCUUUCUCAAGACAGGUCAGCUGGUUGGCAGCAGCUACUGCAAGAGCAGGCUUCCACCAGCUGCUUGCAGCUACAGUGCUGAAACUCCAGAGCAAAAGGCUGCAUGCUGCCAUUACAUUCAAUUUUUUGUUCUCUUGUGCAGAUUUCCACACUGGGAUUUUCACACUUACCAUGGGAUAAGAGCUUUUACGGAACAUUCCAGCUCAUAUAUGGGAAUCUAAUCUUGGUUUAGGGAUCCUGGUGUCUCCUAUGGCAAAGCGGCAGAGACAGUGAAGAAGCUGCUGUUCAGGAAAGAAGGCUAAUAGGGGACAUAAAAACUAGUAAGCUUAGGGAUAGUUUCCUAGUUUGAGAGCACAGAAUAAAGAAUGAUUUACAAGAUAAAGGACAUAAGGUUUGGAUACUGGCAAGUGAAAGUGUGCAGAUGAGGGGAUGAGAAAGUAGGAAGCAGAGGUUUUGGUAGAUGGAAAUACGUGGUAAAGAGAUGACAAGGAUGAAGAUACUAGGAGUAGUACUUCCCAACUUUGAAUGGAUUUCCUUUCAUUUAAUCAUGUGUCUAGUGCACAAGCUUUUAGUAUUUUUGACUAAGAAUGUUGUUGCAGUUCUGUCUAUGCCCUUGCUGUCCUUGUAACGCUGUCACUACACCCAUACGUAUAAAGGAUGAAAUAGGCCCAAGCUCCUUUUCUUUUUAUCACUCUUUAGCAGGAAAACAGAAAUGUACAUGAUCUGCUUCUUUACAUGCUGUAUCUUAGCUACACUUAAAUAUACAGGGGUAUAAUUAUCUUUUUAGCUGCAUCAAUCUUAAAAAUAGUUUAAUUGGGCAUAAAUGUUAAUACUUUUACUAGGGACUUUUCCACUACUUAUUCCUGUUAUAAUGUGGAUAAGAUGUUCCUUUCUGCCCAUGAACAACAUUACCAAAACCAAGGCUGCUUGUGAAGGUCUCGGAGAAUACAAUUUCCCAGUCUGAGACUGGGUCCCCAGUUUUUAGCACCCAAGUUAAUGUUUCUUGGCAUGCUUAAUAAUCCUUACCUAAUCCUAAUUAUGCUUAAUAAGCUUUCUUUUCAAGACUGGUAAGUAUAUACAUCAUUUAAUCAAAUUUAUUCCAAGCAAGGUAUUAUCUAUUUAAGAACAUAUGAACGUAACAGAAGAAUUAAAACAUCAAAUAUAUGUUAUGUUUCUGUAUUAGUCUUGUUUUUUUCUUAUAUGUCUGAUUAAGUCUCAGUUGAGACAUUCACAGAAUCACAGAGUCACAGAAUAGUGGAGGUUGGAAAGGAACUCAGGAGAUCAUGAAGUCCAGCCCCCUCCUGCUCAAAGCAGGGUUGGCUAGAGGAGGUUACUCCAUAUCCAGUCAGGUUUUGUGCAUCUCCAAGGAUGGAGACUCCAUAACCUCUCUGGGCAACCUGUACCAGUGUUCAGCCACCCUCACACUAAAAAAGUGUUUUAUUAUAUUCGGAUGGAAUUCCGUGUGUUUCAGUUUGUGCCCAUUGCCUCUCAUCCUGUCACUGGGCACUACUGAGAAGAGUCUAACUCAGUCUUCUUUACACCCUCCCAUCAGAUCCUCCCUGCUCCAGGCUGUACAGUCCCAGCUGUCUCAUGCCUAUCCUCAUGAGAGAUGCUCCAAUUCCUUAAUCAUCUUAAUAGCCCUUCGCUGGACUCACCCCAUUUGUGCCCGUUGCCUCUUGUCCUGUUGCUGGACACCACUGAAGAGAGUCUGGCCCCAUCUUCUUGACAGCCUCCCUUAAGGUUUGGAUAAAUUGAAAUUCUUCCACAGUAAGUGUGAGACACCAUUGUGAACCAGAGAAGACAGGGAUUCAGAGCAGUCUUCUAAUAUGAGGCAAUGCACUACGGAGACCGCAGAAACUUACUUAUCAAAAAUGACAAGUACAUACAAUUUAAUGAAACAGUAAUUUCACUGAAAAAUGUCAACAGUGUGUCUGGAAAAAUACACUUGGAUCAGUAAACACCACAUCACAACAGUGUGUGCUUUCUUUACUCCAAAUGGUAAUAUCAUCUUAAACUACAUGAAAUUGUGGCAUUUUAUUGUAGUGAAUUUAUACAAUAAAAAAUAAAGGCUU